rnacentral:rRNA from 1 species
GACAGAGGGUGCAAACGUUGCUCGGAAUUACUGGGCGUAAAGCGCGUGUAGGCGGUGCCGCACGUCCGAUGUGAAAGCCCAGGGCUCAACCCUGGACGUGCAUUGGAUACGACGGCGCUGGAGUCCUGAAGAGGAGGGCGGAAUUCCCGGUGUAGAGGUGAAAUUCGUAGAUAUCGGGAGGAACACCAGUGGCGAAGGCGGCUCUCUGGACAACUACUGACACUGAGACGCGAAAGCGUGGGUAGCAAACAGGG